GACGGAGGAUGCAAGCGUUAUCCGGAAUUAUUGGGCGUAAAGCGUCCGUAGGUGGCCUAUCAAGUCUGCUGUUAAAUCCCAGGGCUCAACUCUGGAUCAGCAGUGGAAACUGAUAAGCUAGAGUGCGGUAGGGGCAGAGGGAAUUCCCGGUGUAGCGGUGAAAUGCGUAGAUAUCGGGAAGAACACCAGUGGCGAAGGCGCUCUGCUGGGCCGUAACUGACACUCAUGGACGAAAGCUAGGGGAGCGAAAGGG
rnacentral:rRNA from 1 species